rnacentral:rRNA from 1 species
AAUAAAUCCAAGAAUUUCACCUCCGACAAUUGAAUACUAAUGCCCCCAACUAUCCCUAUUAAUCAUUACGUCGAUCCUAGAAACCAACAAAAUAGAAUCAAACGUCCUAUUUCAUUAUUCCAUGCUAAUGUAUUCAAGCGUGAGCCUGCUUUAAACACUCUAAUUUUUUCAAAGUAACAGUUCUGUUUCCCUGCAACACCAAAUUAAUGACAUUACAGUUCUUCAGAAAGGAGGAAUCAGC